rfam:Peptococcaceae bacterium BRH_c23 BRHa_1001399, whole genome shotgun sequence.
GAAGUGACCUGCCCGGUAAAGUCUGGUCAACAGCCGGAAGCGAGUCUUGCAUAUUAGGAAGCGAUUCCUGGUGUGAAGCGUAGACAGCAAGUGCAAAAGCUGUGUGAUUGAGCCUCGAAAACCCUUUUCGUUGGAGCUUUCGUUUUUACCAGGUCGAGAGCAGUACAAGGGUACCUUAUAGACCUAGUGCCAUUGUCCGACCGGGGUCGAAGAGCA